UACGUAGGGGGCAAGCGUUAUCCGGAUUUACUGGGUGUAAAGGGAGCGUAGACGGCGAUGCAAGCCAGAUGUGAAAGCCCGGGGCUCAACCCCGGGACUGCAUUUGGAACCGUAUAGCUAGAGUGUCGGAGAGGCAGGCGGAAUUCCUAGUGUAGCGGUGAAAUGCGUAGAUAUUAGGAGGAACACCAGUGGCGAAGGCGGCCUGCUGGACGAUGACUGACGUUGAGGCUCGAAAGCGUGGGGAGCAAACAGG
rnacentral:rRNA from 1 species